rnacentral:rRNA from 1 species
AUUGAACGCUGGCGGCAGGCCUAACACAUGCAAGUCGAACGAGAGGCGGACGGGUGAGUAAUGUCUGGGAAAGUGCCUGAUGGAGGGGGAUAACUACUGGAAACGGUAGCUACUACCGCAUACCAUCAGAUGUGGCCAUAUUGGAUGAGCUGGUUGGUGGGGUAACGGCUCACCAAGGCGAAGAUCCCUAGCUGGGCUGAGAGGCUGACCAGCCAAACUGGAACUGAGAAACGGCCCAGACUCCUACGGGAGGCAGCAGUGGGGAAUAUUGCACAAUGGGCGCAAGCCUGAUCCAGCCAUGCCGCGUGUAUGAAGAAGGCCUUCGGGUUGUAAAGUACUUUCAGCGGGGAGGCGUUACCCGCAGAAGAAGCACCGGCUAACUCCGUGCCAGCAGCCGCGGUAAUUC